UCCGAAUUCGUAUAGUGGCCAGUAUGCAUCCCUGUCACGGAUGAGACCGGGGUUCGAUUCCCCGAUUCGGAG
rfam:Plasmodiophora brassicae isolate e3 genome assembly, contig: scaffold_66